GAGGAUGAGAACCUCCGGGGGCAAGAGGUUCGACUCGAGCGAAGCGAGAGAACGUUGCGUCAGCAACGGCCCGCAGUGGCAAGUCAUCCUCUGUCACCGGCAG
rnacentral:sRNA from 3 species